rnacentral:rRNA from 1 species
GACGAACGCUGGCGGCGUGCUUAACACAUGCAAGUCGAACGGAAAGGCCCUGCUUUUGUGGGGUGCUCGAGUGGCGAACGGGUGAGUAACACGUGAGUAACCUGCCCUUGACUUUGGGAUAACUUCAGGAAACUGGGGCUAAUAUCGGAUAGGAGCUCCUGAUGCAUGGGGGGGGUUGGAAAGUUUCGGCGGUUGGGGAUGUAUUCGCGGCUUAUCAGCUUGUUUGUGGGGUAGUGGCUUACCAAGGGUUUGAAGGGUAGCCGGCCUGGGAGGGUUGCCGGCCACAUUGGGCCUGAGAUAGGGCCCAGACUCGUACGGGAGGCAGCAGGGGAGAAUCUUGCACAAUGGGCGGGAGCCUGAUGCAGCAACCUCGCGUGCGGGAUGCCGGCCUACGGGUUGUAAACCGCUUUCGCCUGUACCGAAGAGUGAGUGACGGUAAUGGGUAAAGAAGCACCGGCUAACUACGUG